UACAGAGGGGGCAAGCGUUAUUCGGAAUUAUUGGGCGUAAAGGGCGCGUAGGCGGCCGCUUGCGUCGGAUGUGAAAGCCCGGGGCUCAACCCCGGAACGGCAUCCGAUACGGGGCGGCUCGAGACCGAGAGAGGUGAGUGGAAUACCCAGUGUAGAGGUGAAAUGCGCAGAUAUCAGGAGGAACACCGGUGGCGAAGGCGGGUCUCUGGGCCGAUACUGACGCUGAGGAGCGAAAGCGUGGGGAGCGAACAGG
rnacentral:rRNA from 1 species